UUUAUGGAGAGUUUGAUCCUGGCUCAGGAUGAACGCUGGCGGCGUGCCUAAUACAUGCAAGUCGAGCGAACGGACGAGAAGCUUGCUUCUCUGAUGUUAGCGGCGGACGGGUGAGUAAAACGUGGAUAACCUACCUAUAAGACUGGGAUAACUUCGGGAAACCGGAGCUAAUACCGGAUAAUAUUUUGAACCGCAUGGUUCAAAAGUGAAAGACGGUUUUGCUGUCACUUAUAGAUGGAUCCGCGCUGCAUUAGCUAGUUGGUAAGGUAACGGCUUACCAAGGCAACGAUGCAUAGCCGACCUGAGAGGGUGAUCGGCCACACUGGAACUGAGACACGGUCCAGACUCCUACGGGAGGCAGCAGUAGGGAAUCUUCCGCAAUGGGCGAAAGCCUGACGGAGCAACGCCGCGUGAGUGAUGAAGGUCUUCGGAUCGUAAAACUCUGUUAUUAGGGAAGAACAUAUGUGUAAGUAACUGUGCACAUCUUGACGGUACCUAAUCAGAAAGCCACGGCUAACUACGUGCCAGCAGCCGCGGUAAUACGUAGGUGGCAAGCGUUAUCCGGAAUUAUUGGGCGUAAAGCGCGCGUAGGCGGUUUUUUAAGUCUGAUGUGAAAGCCCACGGCUCAACCGUGGAGGGUCAUUGGAAACUGGAAAACUUGAGUGCAGAAGAGGAAAGUGGAAUUCCAUGUGUAGCGGUGAAAUGCGCAGAGAUAUGGAGGAACACCAGUGGCGAAGGCGACUUUCUGGUCUGUAACUGACGCUGAUGUGCGAAAGCGUGGGGAUCAAACAGGAUUAGAUACCCUGGUAGUCCACGCCGUAAACGAUGAGUGCUAAGUGUUAGGGGGUUUCCGCCCCUUAGUGCUGCAGCUAACGCAUUAAGCACUCCGCCUGGGGAGUACGACCGCAAGGUUGAAACUCAAAGGAAUUGACGGGGACCCGCACAAGCGGUGGAGCAUGUGGUUUAAUUCGAAGCAACGCGAAGAACCUUACCAAAUCUUGACAUCCUUUGACAACUCUAGAGAUAGAG
rnacentral:rRNA from 1 species